AAACUAACAAGGAUUCCCUUAGUAACGGCGAGUGAAGCGGGAAUAGCUCAAAUUUGAAAGCUGGCAGAAAUGUCCGCGUUGUAAUCUCGAGAAGUGUUUUCCGUGCUGGACCAUAGAUAUGUUCCUUGGAAUAGGAUAUCAUAGAGGGUGAGAAUCCCGUACAUGCUAUGGACGCCCAGUGCUUUGUGAUACAUUUUCGAAGAGUCGAGUUGUUUGGGAAUGCAGCUCAAAAUGGGUGGUAAAUUCCAUCUAAAGCUAAAUAUUGGGGAGAGACCGAUAGCAAACAAGUACCGUGAGGGAAAGAUGAAAAGCACUUUGGAAAGAGAGUUAAACAGUACGUGAAAUUGUCAAAAGGGAAGCGCUUCAAGUCAGAUAUGACUUUGAAUGUUCAGCCUUUCGGUGUAUUCAUUCUUUGUCAGGCCAGCAUCGAUUUUGAACGUCGGAUAAGGGUAAAAGGAACGUAGCAUACUUUCGGGUAUGUGUUAUAGCCUUUUACUGGAUACGACGAUCGGGAUCGAGGUUCGCAGCACACCCUUUUUGGGCAGGUCUUCGGACACUUUUUGUGCUUAGGAUGCUUGGCGUAAUGGCUUGAAGCGAC
rnacentral:rRNA from 1 species